UGCACCAAGUAUGGGGAAGUGGAUCAGAAAACUGAAAUGCUAAACUGCCAUUCUAAUUCUAAUUUUAAAAGUUUCAGUUUUUAAUACACAACCAAAGAUCUGGUUCCUUCAAAACUUACUUUUGUGUAAUAUUUACUAGGUUAAUGUGCAAGACAACAACCAGAAUGUGGAUAAAAUGUCUUACAUGUACCAGUUUUUGCUAUCUAGGGCAUGUUGGGUAGUUACCAGUACUGAAUUAUCUGAAGUAAAAGCAGUCUUAGUAUGGAGAGUCAGGGAAUAGACUCAGAGUUUAAGCUAACAGGGGCUUUCCACUGAAGCAGUAGUGUCCAAAUUUUUACCACAAGUAAAUGCAAUACAGUAAAGCACAUUUUCUAAGCUGAAAAGAAUUUUAUAGCAUUGUUUUCACCUAAAUGAUAACAUUGACAGGCAUACAGUUACCUUCAUUUCUAAGCCACAGGAUAAGCCACAAGCCUAUUUUUACAUUUAGAAAAACAUAUGCUAAGAUAAUAAAACAAAGGUUUUCUUGGUAUAUUAUAUAUAAAGAAGUAAGGAUGGGAUAUGGGUCACUGUGCUGCAUUUUGUCAAGUUUACUAAAAUAAUUCCAACCAAGUUUAUUUUUGAGUGAAAUCACUGGGUGUGCAGUCGCACUAACGAUGAAAAUAAACUGAAAGCAGGAAACAUGAUUAAUAAAAAAUAAAUACUUUGCUUUGUAUCGAACAUUUUACAUUUUGAAUUGAAGAUUUUAAUUCAUCAUUGAAAAUAUUAAGUGAAUCAUUUGAGUUGAGGGGGCCACACAAGAUGAUUCUAUGGUCCAUAAAAGCCCGUGGUCCACACUUUGGACACCCUUCCACCACAGGAACAUUUUCUGUUCGCUAUGACAGUAAAACUCGUCCGAUUGGUGGAAGAUCUCUGGCUACUUGCUGGUGCCAGGAAUCAUGUCAGACAGAUCCCAGUGGUAAAUAACUCCAAUAAUAAAUGGUCAGAGUUCUGGCUAUUGAUGCAGUAAUUAUAGUCAGAUACUGGAAAGAAUGAGAGGAGGAGAGAGGGCUAGAAGUGGUCUAGCCCUCUCAGCCGCCGUCACACUGCACGACUAACUGGAAAAUCUCCAUUUCUGCUUAAUAUUUACCAUAGUUCAUCUUUGAUUAGAGGAGUGCUAAACUUGUGGUGGUGUGUGUUAGAAAACAACCAGAAAUUUUCUUUUGAGUUGAAAGAUUUUGGCUAAGACAGCAGAUUAUGACAAGCCUUCAUUUCUAUUUAUUCCUUCAUAUCAAUAAAUAAUCAGCUGCCUUGCAUUACGUUACUCUUUAACUCUGCUUGCCUGACGGACUGCAUUUUGGUCUGUUUUGUAAAACCUGUAAAAAUAGAAUUAUUCUAAAAGUCACAACACGCAUCAGCCUCAGGUUGAUAGACAAGCAGAAACAUUUAAGGUCUGAGAUUGUGUAAAACGUGUUCUGCGAGUAAAACAAUCAAGUCGGACAUGGUUGCUCUGUCGCAUCAUACGAUGGGAAUGGUUUUCUUCAAAUUUGUAAGGAAGUUGGUCAGGAGAAUAAAUGAGAAAAUGGACAAAGCAAAAAACAGGUCAAUCCUUAAGUGCAAAACACUGAAUGGUAAUAAUAACAUUUAUAAAAUUAAUAAUUCCUCAAAGAAGGGAUCCAUAAAAUUGACUAAAAAUGGGUAGAUAUUGGAGUGUCCAUA